rnacentral:tRNA from 1 species
GCAAAAAUAGCUCAACGGUAGAGUAUAACCUUGCCAAGGUUAAUGUUGAGGGUUCAAAUCCCUUUUUUUGCU